CAUACAAGCGGGCUUGCCCGCGAUAGCGGUGGUUCGGCAGCCAAUGUAUUGACUGACACUCAGCCAUCGCGGGCAAGCCCGCUCCCACA
rnacentral:misc_RNA from 1 species